GAUGAACGCUAGCGGGAGGCCUAAUACAUGCAAGUCGAACGGUAAGGUCCCUUCGGGGAUACACGAGUGGCGGACGGGUGCGUAACGCGUACGAAACAUACCUUCAACAGGGAGAUACCUCCGGGAAACUGGAAAUAAUACCCCAUAGUAUUGAGAUAUCGCAUGAUAUUUCAAUUAAAGCUUUGGCGGUUGAAGAUUGUCGUGCGUCUGAUUAGCUAGUUGGUGAGGUAACGGCUUACCAAGGCGACGAUCAGUAGCUGGUCUGAGAGGAUGAUCAGCCACACUGGAACUGAGACACGGUCCAGACUCCUACGGGAGGCAGCAGUAGGGAAUAUUGGACAAUGGGCGAAGCCUGAUCCAGCCAUCCCGCGUGUAGGAAUAAGGCCC
rnacentral:rRNA from 1 species